CUGCAGCUCAAGUGGUGAUCAUUAUUAUUGGGCCUAAAACGUCCGUAGCCGGUUUAGUAAAUGCCUGGGUAAAUCGUGUAGCUUAACUAUACGACUUCCGGGUAGACUGCUAAACUUGAGACCGGGAGAGGCUAGAGGUACUCCUGGGGUAGAGGUGAAAUUCUGUAAUCCUAGGGGGACCACCAGUGGCGAAGGCGUCUAGCUAGAACGGGUCUGACGGUGAGGGGCGAAGCCCUGGGGCGCAAACCGGAUUAGAUACCCGAGUAGUCC
rnacentral:rRNA from 1 species